GACGAACGCUGGCGGCGUGCUUAACACAUGCAAGUCGAACGGAAAGGCCCUGCUUUUGUGGGUUGCUCGAGUGGCGAACGGGUGAGUAACACGUGAGUAACCUGCCCUUGACUUUGGGAUAACUUCAGGAAACUGGGGCUAAUACCGGAUAGGAGCUCCUGCUGCAUGGUGGGGGUUGGAAAGUUUCGGCGGUUGGGGAUGGACUCGCGGCUUAUCAGCUUGUUGGGGGGGUAGUGGCUUACCAAGGCUUUGACGGGUAGCCGGCCUGGGAGGGUGACCGGCGACAAUGGGCCUGCGAUACGGCGCAGACUGCUACGGGAGGCAGCAGUGGGGAAUAUUGCGCAAUGGGCGGAAGCGUGAUGCAGCAACGCCGCGUGCGGGAUGACGGCCUUCGGGGUGUAAACCGCUUUCGACUGUGACGAAGCGGGAGUGACGGUAAUGGGUAAAGAAGCACCGGCUAACUACGUG
rnacentral:rRNA from 1 species